AUUGAACGCUGGCGGCAGGCUUAACACAUGCAAGUCGAACGCCCCGCAAGAGGAGUGGCAGACGGGUGAGUAACGCGUGGGAAUCUACCCAGAUCUUCGGAACAACUGAGGGAAACUUCAGCUAAUACCGGAUACGCCCUACGGGGGAAAGAUUUAUCGGUUCUGGAUGAGCCCGCGUUGGAUUAGCUAGUUGGUGGGGUAAUGGCCUACCAAGGCGACGAUCCAUAGCUGGUCUGAGAGGAUGAUCAGCCACACUGGGACUGAGACACGGCCCAGACUCCUACGGGAGGCAGCAGUGGGGAAUAUUGGACAAUGGGCGAAAGCCUGAUCCAGCCAUGCCGCGUGAGUGAUGAAGGCCUUAGGGUUGUAAAGCUCUUUCAGUGGGGGAGAUAAUGACGGUACCCACAGAAGAAGCCCCGGCUAACUUCGUGCCAGCAGCCGCCGUAACAC
rnacentral:rRNA from 1 species